AUGACAGGUGAAUCAGAGCGCGCGUCACGAGCCGUCACGAGAGAGCGCCAGAAUUCAAAUAAACAAUCUUCCGCCUAUCUUUCACUUUAUUUAUUUAUUUAUUUAUUUAUUGUGUAUCAUCUCAUUCUGUUUGUGACACUGUAUGCUACAAAACCAUGCCAUUUUUUUACUACCAAGACGCAGUUUCUGAGCGUGAGUUAUUCAAUAACAGACACAAACAAUGCUGUCCUGCUUCAUUGGACUAAACGUGCUCCAUGAGAUGUCAUUCAGUGGACCCUCACCUUUCUAACUAAACCGGGAUUUACAGCUGUGGAUGUGUUUAUGACUCAUUAUUACGACGAAUCUGGUAUGUACUGCGUUUUCAUUCUUCAUAUUUUGAUGUGUACUGCUUACACAAAUUUAGCAAAUACAUUCUUUAUAAGCUUUCCAUUGAAAAACAGCAAUCUGUCAUUGAUGCUUGAGGCUUAGAUCUUUAUAAUGAUAUAUAGUUUGUCAAGAUUAAUUUGUCCCGUUUCAUUUAAACUAUUCGUAAAUAUUGACACGUGCAAACAAGGGGAUUUGAGGACGCCGGCGUCUAGGUGCAGGUUAACAGGCUAAUACACAUGGCUCACUGAAAUUAAUCAGUCUCUGUGAUCCCUCAAUCUUUAUGUUGCAUCAAAAAGUUAGGUUACAACUGAACAGUCUGAACAACACAAACACAUUAGAUGUCCGCUAUGCAGUCUGAGAUCUGCACAGCUACCAUUGGAUCAUCUGGUUGAAAUGAGAGCACGUGCUGUGUGUCAUCAGCAUAGCAAUGGUAGGAGAAACCAUGUGCCUGAAUGAUGGGUCCCAGUGAAGUAUUGUAUAUGGGGAAGAGGAGGGGUCCGAGAACUGAUCCCUGAGGAACCUCAAUGACCAGAUGAUGUGCUUUGGAUACCUCUCCUCCCCAGGCCACCCUGAAAGACAGAUGAAAUAGGAUUCAAACCAGCGAAGUGGGAUCCCUCUAAUGCCCAGUAAAAAGAGGGUGGACAGGAGGAUCUGAUGAUUCACAGUGUCAAAAGCGGCAGAUAGAUCCAGCAGAAUGAGAACCGAUGAUUUGGAAUCAGCUUUGCUAUCUGCAAGGCUUCAAUAACUAACAGUAAUGCAGUCUCAGUUAAAUGGCCACUUCGGAAACCUGACUGUUUAUUUGGUUAGAGUUGGUUAGCCAAUAGAGUUGGUUAUUCUGUGAAUGAAAUAUGAUACCUGGUUGAAAACAACUGGUUCAGGUGGUUAUUUAUGUAUUUAUGGAGAAGGUGUGAGGGGAUUGGGUCUAGAGGGCAUGUUGUAUGAUGGCUAGAGAGGAGAGGUUUUGAUACUUCUGCCUCAGUGAAGGGACAGAAGGAGAAGAUGGGAGUUUUAGCAGUGGAUGUGGUUGGUUUGAGUUCCUGUGUGUGUGGAGCUGAGAACUGACUGCUGAUGGUUUUAGUUUGGUCUGUGAAGAAUGCAGCAAAAUCAUCAGCAGUUAAAGAGGUGGUGGAGGGGGACAGAGGAGGGUACUGAAUGUUUUGAAGAGAUUAAGUGUGUCUGAAGCAUGUUUAUCUUGUUGUGGAAAUAUGAAGAGUUGGUAGAACGGACUUAACAGAGAAAGAAGAAAGCAGAGACUGAUACAUAUUCAGGUCCGAUGGAUCUUUUGAUUUGUGCCAUUUUCUCUCUUCUGCCCUGAGUUUGAAGAACAUCAGAUAGCCAGGUGUUAGAAGUGGUAGCACGUGCCGGCCUGGAGGAGAGAGGAGAUACAUCGUCUAGACAAGAGGUUAAAGAGGAGCAUAAAGUGUCAGUUGCUGCCUUCACAUCCAGAGAUGAGAAAUAGGUGAGGGAAGAAAGGAUGACACUACAGGGGAAAGAUGGGAGGGUGAAAGGGAGCAUAAGUUUCACCUAAAAGCAGUAGAGGAGUUGGUGGCACACAGGUAGCAGGAUGUAGGUUGAAUGUUAUAUAAAGAAGUUAUCAGAGAUGUGGAGGGGUUUGACCAAAAUGUUGUCUGCAAUACAACUGCAUGAGUAAAUUAAGUCAAGCUGGUUGCCUAAUUUGUGAGUGUUUGUGGUGGUAAGCCGUUUGAGAUCAAAUUAAUUUAGGAGUGAAUGGAAUUCUGCAGCGUAAGGCUUCUCCAGAUGGAUGUUGAAGUCGCCAAAGACUGCAAGUGGACUGCCAUGCACAGAGAAUGAGGACAGCAGGCCAUCCACCUCCUCUAUAAAGGUGCCCAGUUGACCAGGGGGGUGAUAGAUUACUACAACAUGGAGUUCUAUAAGAGUUAUUACCGUAAUAGCAUGAGAUGAUUCAAAUGAGUUAUUAUUGCACGGGGGAGAGUAUUUCCAGUUGUUAGAAAUGAGGAAACCAGUACCCCCACCCCUUCCAACCUGACGGGGUGUGAGAGAAAGAGAAGUUGUUAGAAAGAGCAGCAGGGAUUGCUGAGUUUUCUGGAUGAAUCCAGGACUCAGUCAAGCCCAAGAUACUAAGAGUAGACUGUGAAGCAAUUGCUGGAAUGCUUUGUUGACGGCUGACUGACAAUUCCAGAGACCCACAGAAAAAGAGAGAGGUGCAGAUAGUACACAGGUUAACAAGAUUGCAUUGCCACCUGCAUUUGACAUUUGAGCAUUGUUGAGAGACAACAGGAAUGUACUGGAAAGACAGGAUAGAUGUGGGAAAGAGAGGGCAAAAAGGAACGUGUGUUGAAAGGAAAAUGAAAGAUAAGUGUAUUGUCGUUGUCCUUGCUCGGUGGAGUUGGAUUUUGCGGGAAAUACAAUGUUCAUCUUGUUGGAAACUCAGAAACGAAGACCAGGAGACUCUUGGGUAAUCUUCAGCAGCAUUCUUUAUUGAGAACGCUCUGCUCAGCGCUACAGUCAUCAAAAGUCUAACCAAAGCAGUGAUACUUUGGAGUUUAUAUACAUUUCAAGGGGGCGGGAUACACAGAGGUGGAGACAACCUAAACAAAGCAUGCAAAUGCAAUACAGGGAUCGGCCUGAUACUGGUCAUUUCCCCAUCUUUGAUCUUGUCAGCAUAACAGUGUCAUUUAAAUACAGAGGUGCCAGACAGUAUCACUGAUACCUUCACAUUACCAUAGAGACAAAGGCACAACUGUGCCUUGAGUUUAGCAGGCACCUUUAUCUUGGGACCUUGCACUAUAGUCAGGAAGUGCAUGAAGACAAAAGGUUAAUGUCUCAGAAACCUGAUUUUCCUGAUUUGAUCUUCUUGGAUAUGUCAGCUUUAUUACCUCAAAAUGUCUACUAUUAUAUUGGAAUCUAGAUUUAACAUUUUAUAAAUUUGUAAUCCCACAAUCUCAUGUUCAUAAACACAGAAGAAGGUCCGGAUACUAUAUCAAGUGUUGGCAGGUAAUUAUAGCUUGUUGCUACAAUAAAUAGUGCUGUUUCAUAGGGUUUGAACUAGCCAACUAACUUGAAUUGAACAUAGUCUAAAUAACAAGUCUGGGAAUUAUCCGUUGGCAAACAGCGGAGAUCAAAAACUGUAAGUGACAGAGCUCGAGCUUGUGCCAAAGUAGUAAUAGUACAUAUGACAUUUCUUCUGAUAACUUGCUUACUUCUUACUGUCAGUGGGUCUUGCUGCAGCGUGACCAGUGCUUGAAGUGGGACGGUACGCACCAGUACACAGUAUCAGCGCUUCUAUAUUUUAGACUUUAGAGUACCUGCACUUUUUUGUGCAUACCGCCACUUCUGACAUGUUGCUGAUUGUCUAUGUAAAAGCAUCAGUGUCUAGGUCAUUAGAAAUGACACUAUAUAAAUCACACCCAGGCAGGAUCAGCUCUCAUCUCAACCAAUCACGUGAGCGAAUUCAAGCGGAAUAUGUCUACCUCAUGUGUGGGGUGCCAGAGCAUAUCAGGGGAGGCGCGUAGAGUAGUAUAAUUUAAUGAAUGAAUUAAUUUAAAAUAAUUAAUUAUUGAUUACUAAUUUGAAACAGUACUUUAUAAUGAAAAUGAUAACUUAAAAAUGAAAAGAAACCUUUUGCGAUUACAUAAUUUUAAACCGGUAAACUCCUGGGAAGUCCAAGGAUCCAGUAAGUGAAUUCAGUUAGCAAGUUCAAAACAGCGCUAAUGCAGAGAAAACAUGGCUGAUUUCAUCAGAGACUGCAGAGAGAAUAGUGACUUAUGUCCAGAUGUCAUUAAAUUAUUCUGUUCAGCAUGUAUUUGGCUUAAAAGUGUGAGUACAUGCACUUCUUUUUUUCUCCCAUUUCAAGCACUGAGCGUGACAGAUCUGCUCUGAUACGGUGAUCAUCAGAAAUCAUGAUUCCUCAAACCUCAGAUUCAUGAGGAUGAUGAGGAAGCAUGACUGGCCUCAAAGUAUUACUACAGGAAUAAUGCAAGUCUAUAAUGUAAAAUAAUGCAAGUCUAAUAAUGCAACACACUUUCUUUGUUUUAU
ensembl:lncRNA